rnacentral:rRNA from 1 species
AUUGAACGCUGGCGGCAGGCCUAACACAUGCAAGUCGAGCGAGCGGCGGACGGGUGAGUAAUGUAUGGCGACUGCUCGUUGGAGGGGGAUAACUGCUGGAAGCGGUAGCUCCUCCUGCAUACUAUCGGAUAACCUAUAUUGGAUUAGCUAGUAGGUGAGGUAAUGGCGCACCUAGGCGACGAUCCCUAGCUGGUCUGGGAGGAUGAUCAGCCACACUGGGACUGAGACACGGCCCAGACUCCUACGGAGGCAGCAGUGGGGAAUAUUGGACAAUGGGCGCAAGCCUGAUGCAGCCAUGCCGCGUGUAUGAAGAAGGCCCUAGGGUUGUAAAGUACUUUCAGUCGGGAGGCGUUACCGACAGAAUAAGCACCGGCUAACUCCGUGCCAGCAGCCGCGGUAAUAC